rnacentral:lncRNA from 1 species
GAUGAACUGCCCGGAAACCUCGUCCAGCUCCACAACAUCGGUGACCUACAGCGGUCAGAGAGAGGGAUGGUGAGCAAAAGCAGCGCGAGAUUGACGGGGAGAGGAGUCCCGCGUCUUUAAUCGAACGUGUCUCACCUUGAGGUCCUCGACGUCUCUGCAGCCCGUACUCUAAAGCAAGCUCGGCACAGGCACAAUUUGCAAGAUCUUGGGCAUAAAAAAUGAACGCCCAAAAGGGAGUGCAGCAACAACAGAAAGAAACGCUAAAAGGGAACAUAGAGCAGAAACCAACCCAAAAUGCAAGCAAGAAUUUUUAAAAGGGAACAUAGAGAAGCAUGAGCAUGAGGCAUAGAAAAAUGGUGUCACCUUAAGAUCAAGAAUCAGUGGUUCUUUCUCAGUUCAAAUCAAAAGGAAAGAAUCACUAUUAUUGAUUAAAGUUAUUUGCAAUUAGGCAAAGCACUACAACACUGGAUCCUAAGCAACAGUUGAGGCAUACAAAACUACCAAGUGUUUGUUCUUUUCAUAUAUAAACAACCUUUAGUAUCUC